UUGAUCAGGUUGUAGGGUUUAUGACUUCCAACUCUGUAAUUUGUACUCUUGGGUCCCUGGAUCCUUUUUCUUUAGCACCAACUGGAGCACCGUGAGUGAUUCUUCCGUUGUUUCACAUAGCCUCUACAAUAAUGGUGUUUGUCCAGCUUUUGCGGGAGACAGCAGUGGUGGUGAACAUGAAGCUAAAAUUUGACCGUGGCCCCUCGACAUCCUGGUCGCUCGAGAUGACGGAGGAGACUGAGACUGCACUGUUGUAGAAGCAUUUCGACAUGGAAGUGACCAACUCCGUUUAAAAAAUAUGCGGUGAUAAGCCGAAGGUAGUAUAUAUGUGAAGAGGAAAGAGGACAGUGCCUGUACGGAGCAUGUAUGAGCCGAUUUUUUUCUCUAGGAUGUGUGAAUUUCAGUCGUAAAUAAGUUAUGUUCUGGUGUUGUUGAAUCUACCAAUAAACUCUGAUUUGUGCGUUUUUUUUUUAAGAUUUCAGGCCCUCGAGAAUAGGACGGUAAUUUAAGGUGCUGAAAGGUGUUGUGUCCAAGGAGCUUAAUGAAUGUAUUUCGACUAGAAAAGUGGUAAAUGUGGCGCUUAAUAGUUAACCUUCUUGACCUACCCUGGGUACUAAAUAUUCGUGUAUGCUGGUGGUCGUGAAGUAUGUGAGCUCGCACGUGGAGAUAUGAGUGAAUACAACGCAGUUUAUUAUGAGGAACAGCUUAUACCUUGUAAUGUGCCUGGCACAGACUGGAGAUUUCCAUUGUAUCAUAAUACUUGUGAAAGACUUUUUAGCAUUUACGAAGGCAAUACAUAAACCCUAAUGGAUUGGUUUAAUUCAUUAAAUUUUAACAUCACUGGAAUCAUCCGUUUUUGGAGGCUUUUAGGUUACUGUAGUUUAGGCAUUUACAAGCAGUGUCAACUUUAUGGAGUUAUUAUCAUGGUUCAUUGUUGCAGGGUCAUCUUUACAUCAUCGAUAUAUUGCAGUCCGUUGAUUUAGAUCAUGUUCAUGCUCCAAAUUUCCGAAGCGAAGUCGGCUUGGAUAUGAGUUGGGUUGUCACCAGAGGAAAGAGUUCGUGCUGAUGAAGCUGAAGAUCUGGCUACAGGUUAAGCCAUUAGUGAUCACGAGGACGGCAAUUUCUCAUAAAAAUCCUAAAACCAUUGCUGAACUUGAUGGUUCUAAAGGUCUUGCUACAAGCCAGGUCCAGAGCCGCUUUGAAGCUGCUGAUGGAGCUCCUAAGAAUGUUGCAUGACCCGCUGAGAAUCAACGUGAAGUUACCAGAGAUCUUGCCACAAGUGGAAUCAAGAAUGACGAUGAAGACGAUGGAUUUUGAGAUAAUACCGAGGUUGAAGAUGGCAGAGAUGAUGUCCGUCCGGCUGACAGCACCCCGUAAGAGGCUGCAUGUUCAUCUAGCUGGGAGAGGGAACCCAAAGAAAACAAUGAAAUAGCAAGCUUUUAAGAGCCUUGGGGUAAAAAGAAAAGAAAAAAGAACUAGGCGAAGUCUAAAUGUACGAGAAAGGCAAGUGAUGUUUUCAAUUCAAUUCGUCA